rnacentral:rRNA from 1 species
CCUACGGGAGGCAGCAGUGAGGAAUGUUGGACAAUGGACGAAAGUCUGAUCCAGCUAUGCCGCGUGCAGGAUGACGGCCCUAUGGGUUGUAAACUGCUUUUAUACAGGAAGAAAAACUCCGACGUGUCGGAACUUGACGGUACUGUAAGAAUAAGGAUCGGCUAACUCCGUGCCAGCAGCCGCGGUAAUACGGAGGAUCCAAGCGUUAUCCGGAAUCAUUGGGUUUAAAGGGUCCGUAGGCGGUUUUUUAAGUCAGAGGUGAAAUCCUGCAGCUCAACUGUAGAAUUGCCUUUGAUACUGAAAGACUUGAGUUAUUGUGAAGUGGUUAGAAUGUGUGGUGUAGCGGUGAAAUGCAUAGAUAUCACACAGAAUACCAAUUGCGAAGGCAGAUCACUAACAAUAUACUGACGCUCAGGGACGAAAGCGUGGGUAGCGAACAGGAUUAGAUACCCUGGUAGUCCACGCCGUAAACGAUGGAUACUAGCUGUAUGUCUACUUCAGGUAGAUGUGUGGCUAAGCGAAAGUGAUAAGUAUCCCACCUGGGGAGUACGAUCGCAAGAUUGAAACUCAAAGGAAUUGACGG